CGCUGGCGGCGUGCCUAACACAUGCAAGUCGAGCGGUAACAGGUGUAGCAAUACAUGCUGACGAGCGGCGAACGGGUGAGUAAUGCUUCGGAAUCUGCCCAGUAGCGGGGAAUAACUAACCGAAAGGUUAGCUAAUGCCGCAUACGACCUACGGGUGAAAGCGGGGGAUCGCAAGACCUCGCACUAUUGGAUGAGCCGAAGUCGGAUUAGCUAGUUGGUGAGGUAACGGCUCACCAAGGCGACAAUCCGUAGCUGGUCUGAGAGGACGACCAGCCACACUGGGACUGAGACACGGCCCAGACUCCUACGGGAGGCAGCAGUGGGGAAUAUUGGACAAUGGGGGAAACCCUGAUCCAGCGACGCCGCGUGUGUGAAGAAGGCCUGCGGGUUGUAAAGCACUUUUAGUGGGGAUGAAAAGCCCAGGGCUAAUACCCUUGGGUCUUGACCUAACCCAAAGAAAAAGCACCGGCUAACUCUGUGCCAGCAGCCGCGGUAAUACAGAGGGUGCGAGCGUUAAUCGGAAUUACUGGGCGUAAAGCGUGCGUAGACGGUUCUGUAAGUCGGAUGUGAAAUCCCCGGGCUCAACCUGNGAAUU
rnacentral:rRNA from 1 species